rnacentral:rRNA from 1 species
UACGUAGGCACCAAGCGUUGUCCGGAUUUAUUGGGCGUAAAGAGCUCGUAGGCGGUUCAGUAAGUCGGGUGUGAAACCUUUCGGCUCAACCGAAAGCCUGCAUCCGAUACUGCUGUGACUUGAGUUCGGUAGGGGAGUGGGGAAUUCCUAGUGUAGCGGUGAAAUGCGCAGAUAUUAGGAGGAACACCGGUGGCGAAGGCGCCACUCUGGGCCGAUACUGACGCUGAGGAGCGAAAGCGUGGGGAGCGAACAGG